UAGAAAUCAGAACCAAGGGGGAGGGCACUCUAAGCUGUGCCUGUGGACAAAAGAAAAAGACACAUGAAUAAGGUGAACUGACUACAAAAUUGCUGGACAAAUUGAUUAAGGCAGCUGUAUAAUCCAUUGGGAAGAGAUGGAAAAAAUGUGGGGAAAAAAUAAUAAAUCCAAGAUGGCAGGCAAGGCAAGUGAAAUGUUUCGUGCAGAAUUCAAAGAUAUCAAUAAAAUCGUUCAGUCUAACUAAAAUUAAUUUGUUUACCCAAUAUACUAUACUAUGCAUUUACUAUGCAUUAUCUAAAAAUGACAAUUCUGUCAUUAAUUACUCGCCCUCAUGUCGUUCCAAAUCUGUAAGACCUUCGUUCAUCUUCGGAACACAAAUUAAAAUAUGUUUGAUUAAAUCGGACAGCUUUCUGAGCCUGCGUAGACACCAACACAACUGACACAUUCAAGGCCCAGAAAGAGAAAAUUGCAUACAGCUUUGGAACAAAAUGAGGAAGAAAGAAAUACAUACAGCUUUGGAACAACACGGUGAACAAAAAAAGUUGGAUUUGAAAGAACAUGAGGGGUAUUAGAAAUGUCAAACUGACCUUGCUCUAAAAUGGCAUGGGCCCCUUAUGGGAGAGGCGGGGUCGAGGGCGUCUCCUCCUCCAGCCAGAAGGUCUUUGGCUCCGGCCGGCUCGAGCGGAAUUCUGCCGCAAAGGAGUCCUCAUGCUGCCCACCUCCUCCAGCUCUUUGCUAUGCUCGGUGGAGGCCAUUGGACCUGUGAACAAAAACAAGAAUAUUCUCCUUGACGCACCCCAUCUAUUUAUCAUGGAGACACGGAUGCAACGGCAGGCAUGAUGAGAGGAUCAUUCCUAGGUGUUUGUCAGACAUCCAGCCUCACUCUCCCCUCAGUGUGAGUCUGCAGUCAUAACAGCUCUUGUAGGGGCGUCUCCACAAACAUGCAUAAUGGAUACCGGCAACGCAGCCACAUCAUAAGUCAAAGGUGACACAAAGUGUUAUGGAGGGGUCUCACGCCAACCCAGGACGCAUAAGCCCGUGCAAGAUCUCUAACGCUUUAAUAGCGUAUAAUAGCGUUGUUGACAGCUUGUAAGAAAUCACCCUUUUCCAAAGCACUGAUUUCAAACAGAUAAAGCUCGAGAUCUGAUCCACACCCUCACCUGGAAGAGGACAAACCAAGUAGCUAAAAUUACACAAUCUCAGGACUUCUGUGCGUGUAUGUGCGUGCACGCUAUAUUUUUAAAAGGAUUUCCGUGACUUUGAAAGAUGAUGCGUCGAUACCGGACUCAGAGUGACAACUCCGAGUGGCUGAAUUGUUUCCAUAAUAUGAAGUGUUUACAUACCAGACUUGAGAGUGGAAGACAGAUUGCAUUCAGGAUGAAUUACGAGUCAAUACGCUCAAAAUUCGCCCAUUCUUGAGGGGGAAGCCCAUUACAAGAUGAGCAGAUUGAGGUAUGCGCAGACGAGAUUAGCAGGGCCGCAGCCGUUCUGCUGGGUGACACUCAAUGCGAAGCCAUAGUCGCCUGUUGCACCAUGACUUCUCCUCCGCGUCCCCACCCUCUUUCAACCUGAGAGAAAGCAGUGCACAGAUAACCCCUAUUGUACGAUUGACAAUUUCCAGCAAACUCCCAGUGUACUGAAAAAAGCGUUUGUCUGAAGAUGAAAGGCUUCACACCCGCUGCCUACACACCGAGUCGCUUCCAACACCUUCCCGCGACAGCGCGCAGCUCCGGCUCCCCGCGGCUCCCUCACCCCCAUCUCAUGAUGGAGAUAAUACUACUAAUAACGACAAGCGAGCAGUCUGACCCGUUAGUAGCCGUAGCUACUGAGCCUGAUCCUGUCCUUCCCGAGGACUCCACACGCAUGCACGGAGAGUGAAAAACGACACUGACCGUAAUGCAAGGCUUUCCUGAGGCACUAUGUGCCUGGACACCAACCCUACUGACAGCCAGACCUGACCCAGAAGAGAGUGAAGCAUGACGUUACAGAGCACACUUUGCCCUAUCCAGGACAUGACAGUGCAUUACAAUCCAAGGUCAUGGGGUUUCUGAGUCUCUGGGAUGAAUUGGACCACCGACUGUGAACCAGGCCUCAUCACCCAAUAUUACUGUUUGGCCUUAUGCUCUUGAUUCUAAAUAUGAGCAGAGUGACAGAAUGUUUAAAGAAAAACACAAGAGGAUCAUCAACACCAUCACUCAUGAGAAACAG